CGCGUAGGCGGUGAGAAGAGUGGUAUGUGAAAGCCCCGGGCUUAACCUGGGAAGUGCAUAUCAAACGAUCUUACUGGAGUAUAAGAGAGGGUGGCGGAAUUUCCGGUGUAGCAGUGAAAUGCGUAGAGAUCGGAAGGAACGUCGAUGGCGAAGGCAGCCACCUGGCUUAAUACUGACGCUGAGGCGCGAAAGCGUGGGGAGCGAACAGGAUUAGAUACCCUGGUAGUCCACGCUGUAAACGAUGAGGACUAGAUGUUGGAAGGGGAACCUUGCAGUAUCGAAGCUAACGCGAUAAGUCUUCCGCCUGGGAAGUACGGCCGCAAGGUUGAA
rnacentral:rRNA from 1 species